CCCUACGGGACGCAGCAGUGGGGGAUAUUGCACAAUGGGGGGAACCCUGAUGCAGCGACGCCGCGUGGGCGAUGGAGUACUUCGGUAUGUAAAGCCCUAUCAGCAGGGAAGAAAAUGACGGUACCUGACUAAGAAGCCCCGGCUAAAUACGUGCCAGCAGCCGCGGUAAUACGUAUGGGGCAAGCGUUAUCCGGAUUUACUAGGUGUAAAGGGAGCGUAGGCGGCCUGGCAAGCCUGAUGUGAAAUACCGGGGCCCAACCCCGGGGCUGCAUUGGGAACUGCCAGGUUGGAGUGCCGAAGAGGCG
rnacentral:rRNA from 1 species